AUUGAACGCUGGCGGCAGGCCUAACACAUGCAAGUCGAACGAGUGGCGGACGGGUGAGGAAUGUCUGGGAAACUGCCCGAUGGAGGGGGAGAACUAAUGGAAACGGUAACUAAUACCGCAUCCCAUCGGAUGUGGCCCGAUUGGGUUAGCUAGUAGGGGGGGUAACGGCUCACCCAGGCGACGAUCCCUAGCUGGUGUGAGAGGGUGACCAGCCACACUGGAAAUGAGACACGGUCCAGACUCCCUAGGGAGGGAGCCGGGGGGAAUAUUGCACAAUGGGGGCAAGCCUGAUGCAGCCAUGCCGGGUGUAUGAAGAAGGCUUUCGGGUUGUAAAGUACUUUCAGCGAGGAGGCGUUACUCGCAGAAGAAGCACCGGCUAACUCCGUGCCAGCAGCCGCGGUAAUUC
rnacentral:rRNA from 1 species